rnacentral:piRNA from 1 species
UGUUUUCUUGGAUGAAACUGA